GAGUUUGAUCGUGGCUCAGGACGAACGCUGGCGGCGUGGAUUAGGCAUGCAAGUCGCGCGACGGCCUUCGGGUACGGAGCGGCGAACGGGUGAGUAACACGUGAGAAACCAACCCCUUUGUUCCGGAUAAUUGACCGAAAGGUCUUGUAAUACGGGGGAGGCUGCUUUUGGGGCAUCUUAAGAGUAGCGAACGAGCAAUCGGCACAGGGACGGUCUCGCGGCCUAUCAGGUAGAUGGUGAGGUAAUGGCUCACCAUGCCGACGACGGGUAGCUGGUCUGAGAGGAUGGUCAGCCACAUUGGAACUGAGACACUGUCCAGACUCCUACGGGAGGCUGCAGUCGAGAAUCUUGGGCAAUGCACGAAAGUGUGACCCAGCGACGCCGCGUGAAGGAUGAAGGCCCUCCGGGUCGUAAACUUCUUUUACGGGAGAAGAAUCAAUGACGGUACCCCGUGAAUAAGCCACGGCUAACUACGUGCCAGCAGCCGCGGUAAU
rnacentral:rRNA from 1 species